rnacentral:rRNA from 1 species
CCGCGGUAUACGGAGGGGGCAAGCGUGUUCGGAAUUAUUGGGCGUAUAGGGCAUGUAGGCGGUUGGUAGUCAAGUUGAAUAUCCAGGGCUACCCUGGGGCGCUCUUUUAUCGCUGACUGGACUCCGGAAUGAAGCUGGAAUUCCAGUGUAUGAGGUGAAUCUACGUAGAUAUGAGGAUCAACCUAGUCGCGACGGCGGUGUGUGGUCCGUACUGAGCCUGAUGUGCGAAUAGCGUGGGAGCAAUCAGGAUCUAAUACCCUGGUAGUCCACGCUGUAAACGAUGAGUGCUAA